CAUAGAGACGCUUUCAUCUUUAAUAGGAAAAAUAGUCUAAAAUAGUAUAAUGGUUCACAUGUCUAAACAUAUUUUCUUUAUAGUUUGGCUUAUUUUUCAAACUCUUCUAAGAGAUGCUCAUCAAGCUGAGCACAAAGAGAAACACUUCCUGCACUACAAGUUUACAGUCCUGACUAAAGCAGACACAUUCCCAGAGUUCAGUGCUGUGGGUGUGUGUGAUGACAGACAGAUCAAACACUACAAUAAUGAAGAAAGAGUCUGG